rnacentral:misc_RNA from 1 species
AAUAACCGGAGAGGGAACCCACU